rnacentral:rRNA from 1 species
AGUGGAUGGGGAGCAACCUUGUUGUGCGUGUGUAAAGGUAGUGCCAAGAAAAGCGAUGAUCAUGUUGAAAAUCAAUUCCCGGUACCCGAAACCGACACAGGUGGGCAAGUAGAGAAUACUAAGGGGCGCGAGGUAACUCUCUCCAAGGAACUCGGCAAAAUGACCCCGUAACUUAGGGAGAAGGGGUGCCACCGAGAGGUGGUCGCAGUGAAGAGGCCCAGGCGACUGUUUAGCAAAAACAUAGGUCUCUGCAAACUCGAAAGAGGAGGUAUAGGGGCUGACGCCUGCCCAGUGCCGGAAGGUUAAAGAAGUUGGUCAGUUUUAGGAUGAAGCUAGCGACUGAAGCCCCGGUGAACGGCGGCCGUAACUAUAACGGUCCUAAGGUAGCGAAAUUCCUUGUCGGGUAAGUUCCGACCCGCACGAAAGGCGUAACGAUCUGGGCGCUGUCUCGGAGAGAGGCUCGGCGAAAUAGGAUUGUCUGUGAAGAUACGGACUACCUGCAUUUGGACAGAAAGACCCUAUGAAGCUUUACUAUAGCUUGGAAUUGUGUUCGGGCUUCCUGUGCGCAGGAUAGGUGGGAGGCGUAGAAGGUAUUCUUGUGGGGAUACUGGAGCCAACGGUGAGAUACCACUCUCAGGAGGCUAGAAUUCUAACUUAAUUAAGGACAGUUUCAGGUGGGUAGUUUGACUGGGGCGGUCGCCUCCAAAAAGGUAACGGAGGCGUACAAAGGUUCCCUCAGACUGGUUGGAAAUCAGUCGAAGAGUGCAAAGGCAGAAGGGAGCUUGACUGCGAGAAGUACAGUUCGAGCAGGGUGGAAACACGGUCUUAGUGAUCCGACGGUGCUGUGUGGAAGGGCCGUCGCUCAACGGAUAAAAGUUACUCUAGGAUAACAGGCUGAUCUCCCCCAAGAGUUCACAUCGACGGGGAGGUUUGGCACCUCGAUGUCGGCUCAUCGCAACCUGGGGCGGAAGUACGUCCCAAGGGUUGGGCUGUUCGCCCAUUAAAGCGGUACGUGAGCUGGGUUCAGAACGUCGUGAGACAGUUUGGUCCAUAUCCGAUGUAGGCGUGAGAAUAUUGAGAGGAGCCUUCCUUAGUACGAGAGGACCGGGAAGGACGCACCGCUGGUGUACCUGUUAUGAUGCCAAUUGUAAACGCAGGGUAGCCAAGUGCGGAGAGGAUAACCGCUGAAAGCAUCUAAGUGGGAAGCCCACCUCAAGAUGAGUAUUCUGGUGUAAGGUCACGGGAAGACGACCCGUAAAUAGGCACGAGGUGGAAGUGCAGAGAUGUAUGAAGCCGAAGUGUACUAAUAGGCCGUCGGCUUGA